UGGGGAAUCUUGCGCAAUGGGCGAAAGCCUGACGCAGCAACGCCGCGUGGAGGAUGAAGGCCCUUGGGUUGUAAACUCCUGUCGGCUGGGAAGAAAUCGUUCGGGGCUAAUACCUCCGGACGUUGACUGUACCAGCAAAGGAAGCCCCGGCUAACUCUGUGCCAGCAGCCGCGGUAAUACAGAGGGGGCCAGCGUUAUUCGGAAUUAUUGGGCGUAAAGGGCGCGUAGGCGGCCAUGCGUGUCUCCCGUGAAAUCCCUCGGCUUAACUGAGGACGUGCGGGAGAAACUGAAAGGCUUGAGUCCGGGAGAGGGAGGUGGAAGUCCCAGUGUAGCGGUGAAAGGCGUAGAUAUUGGGAGGAACACCGGUGGCGAAGGCGGCCCCCGGGACCGGUACUGACGCUGAGGCGCGAAAGCGUGGGUAGCAAACGGG
rnacentral:rRNA from 1 species